UUUUUUUUUUUUUUUUGAAAUGGAGUCUCCCUCUGUUGCCCAGGCUGGAGUGCAGUGGCGUGAUCUCAGCUCGCUGCAACCUCUGCCUCCUGGGUUCAAGUGAUACUCCUGCCUCAGCCUCCUGAGUAGCUGGGAUUACAGGUGCCCACCACUACACCCGGCUAAGUUUUGUAUUUUUAGUAGAGAUGGGGUUUCACCAUAUUGGCCAGGCUGGUCUUGAACUCCUGACCUCAAGUUAUCCACCCACCUCGGCCUCCCAAAGUUUUGGGAUUACAGGCGUGAGCCACUGCACCAGGCUUGUGUUCCCCAUUUAUGGAGGAGGAGAUGAGACAUGGUGAGGCCAGGAAGCAGACACAGACAGAGCCCAUUGGAGCCCUGGGUCCCCCACUCGACUUUUAAAUUGUGUGAUUUGGAGGAAGAAGAAAAUCAAGUACCCUAUGCAACUCUGUGUCCCAAGUUUUCAUCCCUAAAAUGACUCCACAGGAUGGCUUCAGGAUAUUCUUCUGUGCCCGAGGGAUGAGGCCCAGGGGACUCUGAGGGAUGAGGCCGGUGCUGUUUGGGGUGCAGGGGUGAGCCCCUAAAGCAGCAUCCAUCCACCACUCCCUGUGGCCAAGCUCCUUGCCCAGGGAACUCCUGGGCUGGCAGGAGGUGGCCAGGUGCCUUAUGUCUCCUCUCCCCAUUCUCCCAGUCCUCCAGAUGGCAGCUGUUGACUUUUUCUCCAGACCCCAGCUGUCCCAUCUGAGCCCUUCUUUCUGUCUGGACAGAGGUGGCCCUGGCUGUGCCUCUCCUUUGGAACCCAUGGCCCGAGGGGCAUGCUUGGCAGUGGUAUGGAGUUCACAGACCUGCUUUCUAUUUUUUUUUUUUUUUUUUUGAGAUGAGUCUCGCUCUGUUGCCCAGGCUGGAAUGCAGCAGUGACCUUGGCUCACUGCAACCUAUGUCUCCCAGGCUUGAGCAAUAUUCUUGCCUCACCCUGAGUGGCUGGGAUUAUAGGCACCCACCACCAAGACCAGCUAAUUACUGUAUUUUUAGUAGAGAUGGGGUUUCACCAUGUUGGCCAGGCUGGUCUCAAACUCCUGGGCUCAAGUGAUCCCUCCACCUCAGCCUCCCGAAGUACCGGGAUUACAGGCAUGAACCACCAUGCUUGGCUCAACCCCACUUUCUUAUGAUCAUGGCAGGUCACCCAAGCCUUCAAUGGCUCCCCAGGGCCAGUCACACUAAAUCCCAGCUCUGCCCUUGCUCAUUGCUGCUGCCUUGAUCUUCUUUUUGGCCUCCAGGACUGUCUGCUGGGACCAUUACAGUAGUCUCUUGCCUAGUCUCCUGCUCUCCCAGUCUUGCCCCAUCUGGUCUAGCUUUUCCCCCUAGCAGCAGACUGAGCUUUCUAGAACCCAAAUCUGACCACGUCCCGCCUCCACUUAGAGUAUGUCACUGGGUCCCACUGCCCCCAAGCUGGUAUCCAAGCUUGCUCUCAGCCUGGCAUUCAGGAUCAGCUGCCUUGGAUCUGCCCCCUGCCAACACCUCCCCACCAAACUCCACACUCUGACCCAGAUGAGCCAUCAUCCCCAUCACUCCCUCUCAUGUCCCUCAAGCCUAACCUUGACCCUGGUCAGCUGUUUCCCACACCCCGAAUGCACUUGCUGUCCUUCCCAUCGACACCAGCUCUUCCUUCAAGGUUGGUCCCAGUGGUUGUCCCCAAGAGGGGUCUCCAGGAUUCUUAGUGACAAGCAACAGAAUCCAACUGUGGCUCACUUAAGCAGAAGAAAACGUAUUAAACAGAUAUUGGGUUAUACAAACUCCCAGGAAGGCAGGAAGAUCCCAUGGAAAAGGGGAGGCAAGACAUCACCCCUCUUCCUACCACAGAGCCAACCUGGU
rnacentral:lncRNA from 1 species